GUUGUAUAGUCAAGUAAUUAAGUGCAUGUGGUGGAUGCCUUGGCAGUCAGAGGCGAUGAAAGACGUGAUAGCCUGCGAAAAGCUCCGGGGAGGCGGCAAAU
rnacentral:rRNA from 1 species